AUCUAUGGCCAUGCCACCCUGAACGUGCCUGAUCUCAUCUGAUCUCGGAAGCUAAGCAGGGUCGGGCCUGUUAGUACUUGGAUGGGAGACCACCUAGGAAAACCAGGUGCUGUAGGUA
rnacentral:rRNA from 1 species